rnacentral:rRNA from 1 species
UACGGAGGAUCCGAGCGUUAUCCGGAUUUAUUGGGUUUAAAGGGAGCGUAGGCGGGUUGUUAAGUCAGUUGUGAAAGUUUGCGGCUCAACCGUAAAAUUGCAGUUGAUACUGGCGACCUUGAGUGCAACAGAGGUAGGCGGAAUUCGUGGUGUAGCGGUGAAAUGCUUAGAUAUCACGAAGAACUCCGAUUGCGAAGGCGGCUUACUGGAUUGUAACUGACGCUGAUGCUCGAAAGUGUGGGUAUCAAACAGG